GACGAACGCUGGCGGCGUGCUUAACACAUGCAAGUCGAACGAUGAAGCUGGAGCUUGCUCUGGCGGAUUAGUGGCGAACGGGUGAGUAACACGUGAGAAAUCUGCCCUUGACUCUGGGAUAACUGCGGGAAACUGUAGCUAAUACCGGAUACUUUCCCUGGUGGGCAUCCACUGGGGAAGAAAGAAUUUCGGUCAAGGAUGAUCUCGCGGCCUAUCAGCUUGUUGGUGAGGUAAUGGCUCACCAAGGCGACGACGGGUAGCCGGCCUGAGAGGGUGACCGGCCACACUGGGACUGAGAUACGGCCCAGACUCCUACGGGAGGCAGCAGUGGGGAAUAUUGCACAAUGGGCGCAAGCCUGAUGCAGCGACGCCGCGUGAGGGAUGACGGCCUUCGGGUUGUAAACCUCUUUCAGCACCGACGAAGCGCAAGCGACGGUAGGUGCAGAAGAAGGACCGGCCAACUACGUGCCAGCAGCCGCCGUAA
rnacentral:rRNA from 1 species